AUACUUUAGUUUCUCUUCAGAUCAUAUAAAUCUUUUGCCUUUUACUAAAUAUUUCUGUGAAAAGAAACAAUUACAUUGUUGUUGACACAUUAUCAGACAAAGCAAGUCUGAGACCCUGCUU